CAGCAAAAAUACUUGGCGGUCAGUAUUUGGGACUCAAAGUCCAAAUUCUAGUUGAUUUAUAUUUUCAGCUAAGUUUAUUUUUAAAUAAAAAUAAACGAAGCGGAUAGCGUGUUACCAAUCUCUCUCAAAAAAAAAAAGAAAAAGCCAGAGAUGCAAAUAGAAAUAUGUAUAAUUUUUUUUGAUAUAAUCGCAGGUAUAUAAUAUAUCAUAACCGACUCACAAGUCACAACUGUAAAAUUAUAUAUUCUAACUAGAUUAACAAUAUUAAAUAAUAAAUAAUUUUUUUCAGAUGCGCAUACUCUACUCCCAACC
rnacentral:lncRNA from 1 species